AAUAUCGGAAACAAUUAUCUUGACAAGUUUGGUUUUACCUUAUUGUAUUGCAUAUAUAUAAAUAUAUUAAGCAUUUACAAUUAUAUACUAACACUUCCGAUGCAUAUAUAUUAAUGGGUUGGGCAACAAGUCAUAACAAUAUUAGCAAAGGUCCGUGCCCUGACUUGACAAGAUUAACAGCACUUUUCUGAAAAGAAAAACGUUCGGAGUCUUAAACAAUGCUUACGCAUUGUUAAAUUACCGAAAAGUCUGUAAAUAAUCGGCCAUGUAGUCAUUAAUAUUGUAUACGUGUUGUCUUCCCCUUUUUCCGAACAACUGUGUGUCCGAACAACUAGUAUAAUUUCAAAGUAUAUUAUCAAAUUCAAUCACAAUAUGUAUUUAAAAUAAACAACAAAUGGAUCCUAAAUAUAGAUUAUGAGUAUUUUCAAUGUCAGAGGGUUGUUAUAUUGUGAACAUUUUUUGCUAUGAAUAUCAUGAUUUAAACAAUAGUUAUUCAUUUAUAUAACACGACUUAUGUCAGGAACGAGGAUCACUGUAUUUUCCGAAUUUUCAUAAUAAAUUUAAAUAUAAACCACAGAACGACAUGGGUGAGUUGAUGCCAAUUAUUUUUCUCUUACCUGUUCAGAUCCUCUGCAGAAAAUGCUGAACCUAACGCAGCUCAGACAUACGAGGAUAUUUCCAUGACAACUGCAACACCAGCAUACGACGUACUUAAACAUGGAACCAAUAGACUCGACAAUUCGCAGGUGUACACGCCGUCGGAUGAGCCAAGUUCAUAGUCCUAUGUUAACGUCGAAAGUGUCAGGAAAGAGCACACCGUUUAGAACAACACUAUUAUGAAGCGACAACCGGGAGGAUAACCCACUGUAACGUCUUUUGAGGAUACAAACAUGCUAUAUUUGACAGUGUAAUUGUGUUUUCCAGGGAAAUACUGUUAUGUAUUUUUAAGUGAACGUAUCGCUGAACGAUUAAUAACUAAAUAUUACAAACUGAUGGAUUUUUGUAAGGAAACAUCAGUGAAGAGAAAUAAGGGAGCAUGUAUUCUUAUUUGAUAAAUUACACGGUUAGAUAAAAAGUGAAUAUUAACUUUUUUUACACAAAUAUUUUAUGAUCUAGUUUUACGUCUUGAAUAAUUGACCCUCAUUAAAUCUUGUACCAAUGCA